AGUGCGGGGAAGUGACAGUGGCCAUGGGGAUGCACUGGGCACCAGAUCCCCAGCCAGGUGCAGGGGAGCUGCAGCUGAGUGGUUACUGCCCCAGUGCACAGGGCUCAAGCUCCAGCUCCCAGCUGC